rnacentral:tRNA from 1 species
GGUGUAGCUCAGUGGUUAGAGCGCCGGGUUGUGGCCCCGGAGGUCGGGGGUUCAAAUCCCCUCAC